rnacentral:rRNA from 1 species
AUUGAACGCUAGCGGGAUGCUUUACACAUGCAAGUCGAACGGCAGCGCGGACUUCGGUCUGGCGGCGAGUUGCGAACGGGUGAGUAAUGUAUCGGAACGUGCCCAGUAGCGGGGGAUAACUACGCGAAAGCGUAGCUAAUACCGCAUACGCCCUACGGGGGAAAGCAGGGGAUCGUAAGACCUUGCACUAUUGGAGCGGCCGAUAUCGGAUUAGCUAGUUGGUGAGGUAACGGCUCACCAAGGCGACGAUCCGUAGCUGGUUUGAGAGGACGACCAGCCACACUGGGACUGAGACACGGCCCAGACUCCUACGGGAGGCAGCAGUGGGGAAUUUUGGGCAAUGGGGGGAACCCUGAUCCAGCCAUCCCGCGUGUGCGAUGAAGGCCUUCGGGUUGUAAAGCACUUUUGGCAGGAAAGAAACGUCGCGGGCUAAUACCCCGUGGAACUGACGGUACCUGCAGAAGAAGCACCGGCUAACUACGUG